rnacentral:rRNA from 1 species
GACGGAGGGUGUAAGCGUUGCUCGGAAUCAUUGGGCGUAAAGGGUGCGUAGGCCGCUUUUUAAGUCUGACGUGAAAGCCCAGGGCUUAGCCUUGGAAGUGCGCCAGAAACUGGAAGGCUAGAGUGCCGGAGGGGAGAGUGGAAUUCCUGGUGUAGCGGUGAAAUGCGCAGAUAUCAGGAAGAACACCCGUGGCUAAGGCGGCUCUCUAGUACGGUACUGACGCUGAGACGCGAAAGCGUGGGGAGCGAACAGG